GAAUCCCGUCUUUGACACGGACUACCAAUGCUUUGUGAUGCGCUCUCAAAGAGUCGAGUUGUUUGGGAAUGCAGCUCAAAAUGGGUGGUAAAUUCCAUCUAAAGCUAAAUAUAGGCGAGAGACCGAUAGCGAACAAGUACCGUGAGGGAAAGAUGAAAAGCACUUUGGAAAGAGAGUUAAACAGUACGUGAAAUUGCUGAAAGGGAAACGCUUGAAGUCAGUCACGUCUGCCAGGACUCAGCCUUGCUUCUGCUUGGUGUACUUUCUGGUUUGAUGGGCCAACAUCAAUUUUGACCACUGGAUAAAGUCUUUGGGAAUGUGGCAUCUUCGGAUGUGUUAUAGCCCAUUGUCGCAUACGGUGGUUGGGAUUGAGGAACUCAGCACGCCGCAAGGCCGGGUUUCGACCACGUUCGUGCUUAGGAUGCUGGCAUAAUGGCUUUAAUCGACCCGUCUUGAAACACGGACCAAGGAGUCUAACAUGCCUGCGAGUGUUUGGGUGGAAAAACCCAUGCGCGCAAUGAAAGUGAAAGUUGAGAUCCUCUUCAAAGGGGGAGCGUUGACGCCCGGACCAGACCUUUUGUGACGGAUCCGCGGUAGAGCAUGCAUGUUGGGACCCGAAAGAUGGUGAACUAUGCCUGAAUAGGGUGAAGCCAGAGGAAACUCUGGUGGAGGCUCGUAGCGAUUCUGACGUGCAAGUCGAUCGUCAAAUUUGGGUAUAGGGGCGAAAGACUAAUCGAACCAUCUAGUAGCUGGUUCCUGCC
rnacentral:rRNA from 1 species